rnacentral:rRNA from 1 species
GAGCCUGAGAAACGGCUACCACAUCCAAGGAAGGCAGCAGGCGCGUAAAUUGCCCAAUGCUAACACAGUGAGGCAGCGAAAAACAAUAACGGUAGCGGGGCUUUCUAGUUUUGCUAACCGGAAUGAGUACAAUUUAAAUACCUUAACGAGUAUCAAUUGGAGGGCAAGUCUGGUGC